rnacentral:tRNA from 1 species
AGGAGAUGUUGUUUAAGGUUAAACUGUUAGAUUGCAAAUCUAUUCAUUUAGGGAUCAAUACCCUUCAUCUCUUA